rnacentral:rRNA from 1 species
GGAAGUUGUAGCAAUACUUCUUAUUCGAGCGGCGUAAGGGGCAGUAAUACCUGGGAACGUACCCUGAGGUCGGGGAUAGCUGCUAGAAAUGGCGAGUAAUACCCGAUGAUCUCGAGAGAGCAAAGGCUUGCCGCCUUCGGAGCGGCCCAGGCGAUAUUAGCUAGUUGGUGGGGUAAUGGCCUACCAAGGCAUAGAUGUCUAGCGGGUGUGAGAGCACGACCCGCGCCACUGGCACUGAGACACUGGCCAGACACCUACGGGUGGCUGCAGUCGAGAAUCUUCGGCAAUGAGCGCAAGCUUGACCGAGCGACGCCGCGUGCGGGAUGAAGGCCUUCGGGUUGUAAACCGCUGUCAGGGGGGAUCAAGCCCCGUCGGGCACUCUCGGCGGGGAAGAGUGAUCCCCAGAGGAAGCACGGGCUAAGUUCGUGCCAGCAGCCGCGGUAAGACGAACCGUGCGAACGUUGUUCGGAUUCACUGGGCUUAAGGGCGCGUAGGCGGCGCGUUAAGUUCGGGGUGAAAUCUUUCGGCUCAACCGGAAAAUUGCCCCGGAUACUGGCGCGCUCGAGGGAGGUAGGGGCCGUGGGAACUGCCAGUGGAGCGGUGAAAUGCGUUGAUAUUGGCAGGAACGCCGGUGGCGAAAGCGCACGGCUGGAUCUCUUCUGACGCUGAGGCGCGAAAGCUAGGGUAGCGAACGGGAUUAGAUACCCCGGUAGUCCUAGCCCUAAACGAUGAGGACUAGACUGUGGACGUGUCAUGCGUUCACAGUCGAAGCAAAAGUGAUUAGUCCUCCGCCUGGGGAGU